UGGGGAAUUUUGGACAAUGGGCGAAANCCUGAUCCAGCAAUGCCGCGUGUGUGAAGAAGGCCUUCGGGUUGUAAAGCACUUUUGUCCGGAAAGAAAUCCUUGGCUCUAAUACAGUCGGGGGAUGACGGUACCGGAAGAAUAAGCACCGGCUAACUACGUGCCAGCGCCGCGGUAAUACGUAGGGUGCAAGCGUUAAUCGGAAUUACUGGGCGUAAAGCGUGCGCAGGCGGUUUGCUAAGACCGAUGUGAAAUCCCCGGGCUCAACCUGGGAACUGCAUUGGUGACUGGCAGGCUAGAGUAUGGCAGGAGGGGGGUAGAAUUCCACGUGUAGCAGUGAAAUGCGUAGAGAUGUGGAGGAAUACCGAUGGCGAAGGCAGCCCCCUGGGCCAAUACUGACGCUCAUGCACGAAAGCGUGGGGAGCAAACAGGAUUAGAUACCCCUGGUAGUCCCACGCCCUAAACCGAUGUCAACUAGUUGUUGGGGAUUCAUUUCCUUAGU
rnacentral:rRNA from 1 species